CAAGUCGAGGGGCAUCGCAGGUAGCAAUACUGGGCGGCGACCGGCAAACGGGUGCGGAACACGUACGCAACCUUCCUUUAAGUGUGGGAUAGCCCAGGGAAACUUGGAUUAAUACCACGUAAUAUAAUUGAGUGGCAUCACUUAAUUAUUAUAGCUCCGGCGCUUAAAGAUGGGCGUGCGCCUGAUUAGGUGGUUGGCGGGGUAACGGCCCACCAAGCCUUCGAUCAGUAACUGGUGUGAGAGCACGACCAGUCACACGGGCACUGAGACACGGGCCCGACUCCUACGGGAGGCAGCAGUAAGGAAUAUUGGUCAAUGGACGCAAGUCUGAACCAGCCAUGCCGCGUGGAGGAUGAAGGUCCUCUGGAUUGUAAACUUCUUUUUUCUGGGAAGAAACCUGGCUUUUCUUGGUCAGCUGACGGUACCAGAAGAAUAAGCACCGGCUAACUCCGUGCCAGCAGCCGCGGUAAUACGGAGGGUGCAAGCGUUAUCCGGAUUCACUGGGUUUAAAGGGUGCGUAGGUGGGCUGAUAAGUCAGUGGUGAAAUCCCCGAGCUUAACUUGGGAACUGCCAUUGAUACUAUCGGUCUUGAAUAUCGUGUAGGUAAGCGGAAUAUGUCAUGUAGCGGUGAAAUGCUUAGAUAUGACAUAGAACACCAAUUGCGAAGGCAGCUUACUUUACGAUCAUUGACACUGAGGCACGAAAGCGUGGGGAGCAAACAGGAUUAGAUACCCUGGUAGUCCACGCCCUAAACUAUGGAUACUCGACAUCAGCGAUACACUGUUGGUGUCUGAGCGAAAGCAUUAAGUAUCCCACCUGGGAAGUACGACCGCAAGGUUGAAACUCAAAGGAAUUGGCGGGGGUCCGCACAAGCGGUGGA
rnacentral:rRNA from 1 species